AGUGACCUCACAGUUGCCGUAAGUGAAGAUGAUCUGAUUUUAGAGAGUCCAGAACCACAGCCAAAUCCGAGUGACAAGAUGGAGGGAGAAGAUGGAAUAGAGGCCUUAAAAUUAAUCCACUCUGAGCAAGAAAGAGGUGCCCUAUCCACCGAAAAACAUAAUUGUAUUUUGCAAACUCUAAGCUCUCCUGAUUCAAAAAAGGAAUCCUCCACUAACUCACCAACAAGAGAGCUCUAUAAUCACAGUGACAUUCUGAAAGAAGACCUUGAAGCCUGUGGAACAGCUGUCCUUCACCAGCCUCCGAGACUCUUACCUGGAGGUGGCAGCCAUGAAAAGCAAGUCAGAUCUGAACAAGCGUCAGCCUCAGGCUUGUUGAGGGCACAGUUGGGUCAGCACAUGGCCACCUUGAAAGAACGUGAUAAUUCUAUCACAGAAGAGGUAGCUAAGAAGUCUGAAGUUUUCCUAGUCACAAACGUGGACCAGAGGACAGGGGUUAGUAAUUUUUAUUUUUUUUAAUAAGUUUCAAGAUGUACAAAUUAUUCAUUUAAGGAAAUAGUCAUGUUCUUAACAAUGGUUAACAUAUUUGAAAAAAGAUUAAAUAAUAGUGAGGUUUUAUGGUUGGUUUUAACUUUCUGCUCUCAGGCCUUUUGCAUAGUGUUUUAUGUAGGAAUCUCAACUCCUUACAUAAAGUUGAUUCAGGUUUUGGAGCUAACCUAAUUAAGCAUAUCUACCACAGCAUUUUCCAAGGAACUU